AACGAACGCUGGCGGCAGGCUUAACACAUGCAAGUCGAACGCCCCGCAAGGGGAGUGGCAGACGGGUGAGUAACGCGUGGGAAUCUACCUAGUUCUACGGAACAACUGAGGGAAACUUCAGCUAAUACCGUAUACGCCCUACGGGGGAAAGAUUUAUCGGAAUUAGAUGAGCCCGCGUUGGAUUAGCUAGUUGGUGGGGUAAUGGCCUACCAAGGCGACGAUCCAUAGCUGGUCUGAGAGGAUGAUCAGCCACACUGGGACUGAGACACGGCCCAGACUCCUACGGGAGGCAGCAGUGGGGAAUAUUGGACAAUGGGCGCAAGCCUGAUCCAGCCAUGCCGCGUGAGUGAUGAAGGCCUUAGGGUUGUAAAGCUCUUUCAGUGGGGAAGAUAAUGACGGUACCCACAGAAGAAGCCCCGGCUAACUUCGUGCCAGCAGCCGCCGUAA
rnacentral:rRNA from 1 species